CUCUUCAUCUUCCACCACUUUCUUUUUGCUGGCUCUAGGUUUUGCUUUCUGUUUCUUCUCUGUCUUUUUGCUUGUCUUUUCAGCAUCUGCACGCUUCGGGCAUGUUCUUGCAUUAUGUGGUUCAUACUCCUUGCAUAUGCUACAAAGUCUGCUGCUUGCUUUCUGUGGGUGUGGUCCCUUCUUUUGUUCUAUAACUUUGGGCUGUUGUUUUUGAACUUUGGGUUGCUUGACCUCCUCGGCAUUGUUUCUUUCUAUGAGUGUUGGACAGGUGAGCUUGUUGUGUCCUGCAACCAUUUUGCACACAUUACAUUGCCUGUGUCCAAGUGGCACUCCGUUCUCAUCGAGCACGAUGACUCUUCCUGCAGAGUACAGCGGCAGUUUCAUCAUCUCUUGUUGCCGCUACUGCAUUAAUUGGUCAACACCCUGCUUGCAUUGGUUGGCUUGAGCAGCGGCGUUGAGCAUUUCAACUGCAUAAUAAUGAAGGUCAUCUUCAAUUUCAGCAUCCUCUUCAGCCAUCCUUUCGUCAGCAUCGGCUCGAUUUGCUGAAUGUAUUGCAUCAAGCUCUUCCACGAGCCUCUUGUGAACAUAGAAGGCUCUGUCAUAUUGUUGGUCACAUCUCAUCGCUUUCUUGUUAACCAUCAAAUUUAGCUAUAGCAAGAUGUCUUGCCUCGAUGGUCUUGAGCUGCCAUCCGAUGCAGUUGUGUUGUAGUCCCUUGUAUCAAAGGUUGGUUGUGAUUUUGCAGUCUUUGUGUACCGUUUGAGGAUAUACUUGUGUGGAAAUUUGUCAGGCUUCAGGUAGUCCAGUAUGUUCAUUAUGUGAAGGCAGAACAUGCUUGCAUUUUGUGAUGAAUGCAGAAUACAUAGUUUGUGAGCCAGCAAUGAGUUUCAUAUAUUUUGAUAUAA